rnacentral:rRNA from 1 species
AUUGAACGCUGGCGGCAUGCUUUACACAUGCAAGUCGAACGGUAACAGGCCGCAAGGUGCUGACGAGUGGCGAACGGGUGAGUAAUGCAUCGGAACGUGCCCAGUCGUGGGGGAUAACGCAGCGAAAGUUGCGCUAAUACCGCAUACGAUCUAUGGAUGAAAGCGGGGGACCGUAAGGCCUCGCGCGAUUGGAGCGGCCGAUGUCAGAUUAGGUAGUUGGUGGGGUAAAGGCUCACCAAGCCGACGAUCUGUAGCUGGUCUGAGAGGACGACCAGCCACACUGGGACUGAGACACGGCCCAGACUCCUACGGGAGGCAGCAGUGGGGAAUUUUGGACAAUGGGCGCAAGCCUGAUCCAGCAAUGCCGCGUGCAGGAAGAAGGCCUUCGGGUUGUAAACUGCUUUUGUACGGAACGAAACGGUCCUGGUUAAUACCCGGGGCUAAUGACGGUACCGUAAGAAUAAGCACCGGCUAACUACGUGCCAGCCGCCGCAGUAA